ensembl:lncRNA
AUGCACGCUGAUGGCGCAGUGAUCUCACCUACGGCAAUGGCUUUAAAUCUGCUCACGGUACAUUCUCUACAGAUUUCAUUGAGAAGUGCUUCUGCAGCCCCCUGGAUGCGGUGCCCUGAGACAUGGAUGUUAUUCAUGGUCAGAAAAAGAAAGAUGGAGUCCUCAGUCCAGAGCCUGUUCAUCGGGGGUACAAAGUGUUGUUCAUACAACCAGUCCGGUUGGGUACAAACGAGGGUGGUUCUUCUGACUGGGAUUAUCAGUCUGAAAGCCGUAACAGAUCUUUAUGUUGUAUUUAACCCAGACCUUGUUAAGAAAAUGUAGCACACUUAUUUUACCGCCUUCCAGGAACUUUGCAGAACGCUUAAACACCUCUUGAGGUUCACAGACCUCCUCAUCCUCCUCCUCCUCUAUCCGAGUCAUAGGUAAUGAUGGUGGUAGGGUGUGGAUCAUCAAGGAUGGGAGAUGGGGAGAAGAGGUUGGUGGUCCAUGGUGAGGUGUCCACGGUGUCUGAAAAUAUUUUUUUUAGGGUUCUGCAUCAAUUGCAGAUAACAUAACAAUAACAUAACCCACCAUUCGUUUAGAUGGAUGAAGGAUGAAUUAUUUUCGGUACACGUGGUAUCAGAUAUACCAGGUUGUACACUGCUCGGUGUAUUGGCGUAAACAAGACGUUUUCUAACAGUCCAGUAAGCCGUCUCUCUGGAUCGGUUUGUCAAUCUGGCUAAACACUUUUUGCAGAGCAAAUUGUAUUUAACCAUAUAACCUCUAGCAUUAAUGGAGGUGCCAUCUCUAGAACAGAGGUCCGCGGAGGUACUGCAGGGGGGUUGCGGAAUUGUAUUUCUUUGAUUGUUUAAAAAAAAAAAGUUCAACCAAUUUUUUCGCGCAAAUUUAAAUGUCUUCAGAAUCAGAAUUGUAUUUAUUGUCUUUAAAUACACUUAACAUGAAUCCAACAUAUUGUAGCGAACAGAUAAAUUGAUGGAGAAGACGUUAUCUUUCAGUCCACAAUGCACACAUUCAGAUACCCACAGGAGCUCUCUCAAGCUGGGCACCGAUUCGCUCACAGCACCUUUCAUGCAAGCCUACCCCACAAUUUAAUACAUAAUGACAAGACUUUUAAUUCAUUCCUAUUAAACAUUAAUAAUAAUUAACCUAGAUCACUAUUUGUCACACUUCAUCCUGAGUUAAACCAAAGAGGUCAAAGGGCCAAACAUCUAAUGUUGGUCAAAUGCUGUGUUCCAAAAAGAUAACUUUUUAUUGCAGUCAGAUUUGUUACUAUUUAGAAAAUAGUCUAGGCUUCUAGGCUUGCGUCGAAAGAAAAAUGGGUCGACGAACGCUUGCACGCAAGGAGGUGUGAAAAGGCACGCAAGGGACACGCAAGGGGCUCUUGCGUCUGCGUUUCCUUGCAUCGCUCUGAAAACGCAGAAGCAAAAACUAGGCAUUACUCUCAACAUUAACGCACAUCAUAGACUUAGCUUUUUUUCAGAAGCCUUUCCUCCUAACAGGCUUUCAGUGCGUGGUGGUUAUUCCUGCAGUGGUUCUGCCUCACACCUGCUCACUACUCACAAUAUUUGAAUAAUUUCUGUCAUAUGCAUUGGACGUAUUGUACAUAUUUUACGUUGUUCUUUCUGUACACAUGACAUAAAAUAUAAAAAAUAAAAUUAUUUGAAUCGAAUUGAAUGUGGGCUGUAAGGUAUGUUCUGUGUAGUAACUUGUAGUAAAGAUCAGUGUGAAUACAAACUGCCAAACUCGGUCUGGCUGGAAAUUAGUGGAUUAAGCCCUUGUGAGAAAUCAAAAGUAUCUUAACGUGUUUGUCAUUGAGUAUUUAUUACUAACUAGAAUAUAGAAAAAUCACAAUACAGAAAUCAUCAACACAAGCCGUAAGUACAGACAGAAGUUGAAAUGAUUCAACUCAGCUGUAAAGGUCCAGAUUGUUUCCUCUCCCUCAGAGGAGCAGGAAGAUCUGACCAAGCUUCUUGGGGUGACUAGAAGCUUUAAUACACAUCAGAGAGAUAUUUUUUGUUGUCCAAUCAGAAUCCCCCCCCUGCACAUGGGAAUAUCACAGAUGUGUGGGGGAACCCUCUUGACCUUCCCUCAAUGGGACCCAGGCAUGUGUGUGUAUAUAUAUAUAUAUAUCAUAUUAGACACGGUGGAGAGAAAAACAAGAUAUAGAGCCGUCAAGGUACAUAUGGGUCCCAGCUGUAGGAACAGUAUACUACCCUGGACUGGUUUAAGUCACAGGUUUCCCAUAAAAGGUCACAUACAGAGUUCCUGAGAGCCUCACAAUGUGCAGAUCAAAAAUUCUCCCCCAACUUUCUGAAAAUAACUCCAAGAACCAUAAAUUGAUGUUUUUU